GACGAACGCUGGCGGCGUGCUUAACACAUGCAAGUCGAACGGAAAGGCCUGCUUUCCCUUGUGGAUUGCGUGUACUCGAGUGGCGAACGGGUGAGUAACACGUGAGUGAUCUGCCCCCAACUUGGUUAUAAGCCUGGGAAACUGUGUCUAAUUCCCGAUAGGACUGCAGGGUGGUGCCUGUGGUGGAAAACGAUUUUCUAGUGGUUGGUGAUGAGCUCGCGGCCUAUCAGCUUGUUGGUGGGGUAAUGUCCUACCAAGGCGGCGACGGGUAGCCGGACUGAGAGGGUGGACGGCCACAUUGAGACUGAGAUACGGCCCAGACUCCUACGGGAGGCAGCAGUGGGGAAUAUUGCACAAUGGGCGGAAGCCUGAUGCAGCGACGCCGCGUGGGGGAUGACGGCAUUCGGGUUGUAAACUCCUUUCGACCGCGAGGAAGCCACCUGGUUGGAAGGGUGGUGACGGUAGUGGUAGAAGAAGCACCGGCUAACUACGUG
rnacentral:rRNA from 1 species